rnacentral:rRNA from 1 species
UACGGAGGAUGCGAGCGUUAUCCGGAUUUAUUGGGUUUAAAGGGUGCGCAGGUUGUUUGAUAAGUCAGUGGUGAAAGUCUGUCGCUUAACGGUAGGAUUGCCAUUGAUACUGUUGGACUUGAAUAUGGAUGAGGUAGGCGGAAUGUGUAGUGUAGCGGUGAAAUGCAUAGAUAUUACACAGAACACCGAUUGCGAAGGCAGCUUACUAAUCCAUCAUUGACGCUGAGGCACGAAAGCGUGGGGAGGCAAACA